GGACUACACGGGUAUCUAAUCCUGUUUGCUCCCCACGCUUUCGCUCCUCAGCGUCAGGCAAGGCCCAGAGAACCGCCUUCGCCACCGGUGUUCCUCCCGAUAUCUGCGCAUUUCACCGCUACACCGGGAAUUCCAUUCUCCCCUACCUGCCUCUAGCCUGCCCGUAUCCACUGCAAGCCCGGGGUUAAGCCCCAGGUUUUCACAGCGGACGCAGCAAGCCGCCUACGAGCUCUUUACGCCCAAUAAUUCCGGACAACGCUCGCGCCCUACGUGUUACCGCGGCUGCUGGCAC
rnacentral:rRNA from 1 species